UACGGGAGGCAGCAGUGGGGAAUAUUGGACAAUGGGCGAAAGCCUGAUCCAGCCAUGCCGCGUGUGUGAAGAAGGUCUUCGGAUUGUAAAGCACUUUAAGUUGGGAGGAAGGGCAUUAACCUAAUACGUUAGUGUUUUGACGUUACCGACAGAAUAAGCACCGGCUAACUUCGUGCCAGCAGCCGCGGUAAUACGAAGGGUGCAAGCGUUAAUCGGAAUUACUGGGCGUAAAGCGCGCGUAGGUGGUUUUGUUAAGUUGAAUGUGAAAGCCCCGGGCUCAACCUGGGAACUGCAUCCAAAACUGGCAAGCUAGAGUAUGGCAGAGGGUGGUGGAAUUUUCCUGUGUAGCGGUGAAAUGCGUAGAUAUAGGAAGGAACACCAGUGGCGAAAGGCGACCACCUGGGCUAAAUACUGACACUGAGGUGCGAAAGCGUGGGGAGCAAACAGGGAUUAGAUACC
rnacentral:rRNA from 1 species